rnacentral:tRNA from 1 species
GGGGAUUUAGCUCAGCGGUAGAGCGCUUGCCUAGCGAGCGCAAGGCCCUGGGUUCGAUCCCCAGCUCUG